rnacentral:rRNA from 1 species
CAGUCGCCGCGGUAAUACGGAGGAUCCGAGCGUUAUCCGGAAUUAUUGGGUUUAAAGGGUGCGUAGGCGGAUAGAUAAGUCAGUGGUGAAAGACGGUGGCUCAACCAUCGCAGUGCCGUUGAUACUGUUUAUCUUGAAUAUGGAUGAGGUAGGCGGAAUGUGGCAAGUAGCGGUGAAAUGCAUAGAUAUGCCACAGAACACCGAUUGCGAAGGCAGCUUACCAAGGCAAAAUUGACGCUGAGGCACGAAAGCGUGGGGAUCGAACAGGAUUAGAUACCCCAGUAGUCCCUGUCUCUUAUAA